AAGGUAUAAAGUAUUAGCUUUAUUUAAAAGGGAACUUAGGUGAAAAUCCUAGACGGUCCCGCCGCUGUGAUGGGGAGCAACUCCAAAGAAGAUGUCACUGACUUAUGUCGGGAAGGCAGGAGAAGCUGUGAACUGAAGUCAGAAGACCUGCCUUUAUUAAU
rnacentral:ncRNA from 1 species